CAGGAGGUUUUAUUUGAUGUGAAAGAAGCAGAAGUCCUUGUACAGGAGAAGAAUUCUUCCAGGCUCCUGUGCCACUACCCCUACCCCACCAUCUCCUGCGUGGGACGCUGCACAGACAGCAGCAAUUUAUUUGGCUUCUGCGUGGCCGCUUCCCCGGAGAGCCCUGAUGGGAGCACGUUCGACUGCCUGGUGUUUGCAUCCCGCUCCGAGCAAGAAUGUGAGGAAAUCAUCAGGA